rnacentral:rRNA from 1 species
CAGUCGUACGCUUCUUUUUCCACCGGAGCUUGCUCCACCGGAAAAAGAAGAGUGGCGAACGGGUGAGUAACACGUGGGUAACCUGCCCAUCAGAAGGGGAUAACACUUGGAAACAGGUGCUAAUACCGUAUAACAAUCGAAACCGCAUGGUUUUGAUUUGAAAGGCGCUUUCGGGUGUCGCUGAUGGAUGGACCCGCGGUGCAUUAGCUAGUUGGUGAGGUAACGGCUCACCAAGGCCACGAUGCAUAGCCGACCUGAGAGGGUGAUCGGCCACAUUGGGACUGAGACACGGCCCAAACUCCUACGGGAGGCAGCAGUAGGGAAUCUUCGGCAAUGGACGAAAGUCUGACCGAGCAACGCCGCGUGAGUGAAGAAGGUUUUCGGAUCGUAAAACUCUGUUGUUAGAGAAGAACAAGGAUGAGAGUAACUGUUCAUCCCUUGACGGUAUCUAACCAGAAAGCCACGGCUAACUACGUGCCAGCAGCCGCGGUAAUACGUAGGUGGCAAGCGUUGUCCGGAUUUAUUGGGCGUAAAGCGAGCGCAGGCGGUUUCUUAAGUCUGAUGUGAAAGCCCCCGGCUCAACCGGGGAGGGUCAUUGGAAACUGGGAGACUUGAGUGCAGAAGAGGAGAGUGGAAUUCCAUGUGUAGCGGUGAAAUGCGUAGAUAUAUGGAGGAACACCAGUGGCGAAGGCGGCUCUCUGGUCUGUAACUGACGCUGAAGCUCGAAAGCGUGGGGAGCAA